AACACGUGAGUAACCUGCCCUUAACUCUGGGAUAAGCCUUGGAAACGGGGUCUAAUACCGGAUAUUGACAUGGCACCGCAUGGUGGUGUGUUGAAAGCCUUGAGUGGUUUUGGAUGGACUCGCGGCCUAUCAGCUUGUUGGUGAGGUAAUGGCUCACCAAGGCGACGACGGGUAGCCGGCCUGAGAGGGUGACCGGCCACACUGGGACUGAGACACGGCCCAGACUCCUACGGGAGGCAGCAGUGGGGAAUAUUGCACAAUGGGCGAAAGCCUGAUGCAGCGACGCCGCGUGAGGGAUGACGGCCUUCGGGUUGUAAACCUCUUUCAGUGGGGAACAAGGCCAGGCAUUGCCCGGUUGAGGGUACCUGCAGAAGAAGCGCCGGCUAACUACGUGCCAGCAGCCGCGGUAAUACGUAGGGCGCAAGCGUUAUCCGGAAUUAUUGGGCGUAAAGAGCUCGUAGGCGGUUUGUCGCGUCUGCCGUGAAAGUCCGGGGCUCAACCCCGGAUCUGCGGUGGGUACGGGCAGACUAGAGUGAUGUAGGGGAGACUGGAAUUCCUGGUGUAGCGGUGAAAUGCGCAGAUAUCAGGAGG
rnacentral:rRNA from 1 species